ACUCAAAGGAAUAGACGGGGGCCCGCACAAGCAGUGGAUUAUGUGGUUUAAUUCGAAGCUACGCGAAAAACCUUACCAGGGCUUGACAUAAGUAGCGGACAGGUAUAGAGAUAUACCCUCUCCUCGGAGUCGCUCAUACAGGUGGUGCAUGGUUGUCGUCAGCUCGUGUCGUGAGAUGUUGGGUUAAGUCCCGCAACGAGCGCAACCCCUAUUGUUAGUUGCUACGCGAGAGCACUCUAGCGAGACUGCCGUUGACAAAACGGAGGAAGGUGGGGACGACGUCAAAUCAUCAUGCCCCUUAUGUCCUGGGCUACACACGUAAUACAAUGGCGUUUAACAAAGGGAUGCAAGACCGCGAGGUGGAGCAAAUCCCAAAAAGGCGUCUCAGUUCGGAUCGCAGGCUGCAACCCGCCUGCGUGAAGUCGGAAUUGCUAGUAAUCGCGGAUCAGCAAGCCGCGGUGAAUACGUUCCCGGGCCUUGUACACACCGCCCGU
rnacentral:rRNA from 1 species